rnacentral:rRNA from 1 species
UACGGGGGGAGCAAGCGUUGUUCGGAUUUACUGGGCGUAAAGGGCGCGUAGGCGGCACCGCAAGUCGACUGUGAAAUCUCCGGGCUUAACCCGGAAAGGUCAGCCGAUACUGCGGGGCUAGAGUGCAGAAGGGGCAACUGGAAUUCUUGGUGUAGCGGUGAAAUGCGUAGAUAUCAAGAGGAACACCUGCGGCGAAGGCGGGUUGCUGGGCUGACACUGACGCUGAUGCGCGAAAGCUAGGGGAGCAAACGGG